GAGUGACCAUUUUAUAAGUUGGG
rnacentral:siRNA from 1 species